GAUGAACGCUGGCGGCGUGCCUAAUACAUGCAAGUCGAGCGAACAGACGAGGAGCUUGCUCCUUCGACGUUAGCGGCGGACGGGUGAGUAACACGUAGGUAACCUACCUAUAAGACUGGGAUAACUUCGGGAAACCGGAGCUAAUACCGGAUAAUAUUUCGAACCGCAUGGUUCGAUAGUGAAAGAUGGCUUUGCUAUCACUUAUAGAUGGACCUGCGCCGUAUUAGCUAGUUGGUAAGGUAACGGCUUACCAAGGCAACGAUACGUAGCCGACCUGAGAGGGUGAGCGGCCACACUGGAACUGAGACACGGUCCAGACUCCUACGGAAGGCAGCAGUAGGGAAUCUUCCGCAAUGGGCGAAAGCCUGACGGAGCAACGCCGCGUGAGUGAUGAAGGUCUUCGGAUCGUAAAACUCUGUUAUUAGGGAAGAACAAACGUGUAAGUAACUGUGCACGUCUUGACGGUACCUAAUCAGAAAGCCACGGCUAACUACGUG
rnacentral:rRNA from 1 species